GACGAACGCUGGCGGCGUGCUUAACACAUGCAAGUCGAACGGAAAGGCCCUGCUUUUGUGGGGUGCUCGAGUGGCGAACGGGUGAGUAACACGUGAGUAACCUGCCCUUGACUUUGGGAUAACUUCAGGAAACUGGGGCUAAUACCGGAUAGGAGCUCCUGCUGCAUGGUGGGGGUUGGAAAGUUUCGGCGGUUGGGGAUGGACUCGCGGCUUAUCAGCUUGUUGGUGGGGUAGUGGCUUACCAAGGCUUUGACGGGUAGCCGGCCUGAGAGGGUGACCGGCCACAUUGGGACUGAGAUACGGCCCAGACUCCUACGGGAGGCAGUAGUGGGGAAUAUUGCACAAUGGGCGGAAGCCUGAUGCAGCAACGCCGCGUGCGGGAUGACGGCCUUCGGGUUGUAAACCGCUUUCGCCUGUGACGAAGCGUGAGUGACGGUAAUGGGUAAAGAAGCACCGGCUAACUACGUGCCAGCAGCCGCGGUGAUACGUAGGGUGCGAGCGUUGUCCGGAUUUAUUGGGCGUAAAGGGCUCGUAGGUGGUUGAUCGCGUCGGAAGUGUAAUCUUGGGGCUUAACCCUGAGCGUGCUUUCGAUACGGGUUGACUUGAGGAAGGUAGGGGAGAAUGGAAUUCCUGGUGGAGCGGUGGAAUGCGCAGAUAUCAGGAGGAACACCAGUGGCGAAGGCGGUUCUCUGGGCCUUUCCUGACGCUGAGGAGCGAAAGCGUGGGGAGCGAACAGGCUUAGAUACCCUGGUAGUCCACGCUGUAAACGGUGGGUACUAGGUGUGGGGUCCUUUCCACGGGUUCCGUGCCGUAGCUAACGCUUUAAGUACCCCGCCUGGGGAGUACGGCCGCAAGGCUAAAACUCAAAGGAAUUGACGGGGCCCCGCACAAGCGGCGGAGCAUGCGGAUUAAUUCGAUGCAACGCGUAGAACCUUACCUGGGUUUGACAUGGAUCGGGAGUGCUCAGAGAUGGGUGUGCCUCUUUUGGGGUCGGUUCACAGGUGGUGCAUGGCUGUCGUCAGCUCGUGUCGUGAGAUGUUGGGUUAAGUCCCGCAACGAGCGCAACCCUUGUUCACUGUUGCCAGCACGUUAUGGUGGGGACUCAGUGGAGACCGCCGGGGUCAACUCGGAGGAAGGUGGGGAUGACGUCAAGUCAUCAUGCCCCUUAUGUCCAGGGCUUCACGCAUGCUACAAUGGCUGGUACAGAGAGUGGCGAGCCUGUGAGGGUGAGCGAAUCUCGGAAAGCCGGUCUCAGUUCGGAUUGGGGUCUGCAACUCGACCUCAUGAAGUCGGAGUCGCUAGUAAUCGCAGAUCAGCAACGCUGCGGUGAAUACGUUCCCGGG
rnacentral:rRNA from 1 species